rfam:Salmo salar isolate Sally breed double haploid chromosome ssa15, whole genome shotgun sequence.
UCUAAUUGCUCCUGUAAGUUGCUCUGGAUAAGAGUAUCUGCUAAAUGACAAAAA